UCUCUAAGCAAUAAAAUAUAUGCCAUGCAUUUACUUUAUCGAAAAGUUGUAACAGCUAGCCUCUGACUUCAUUUUUGAAUUACCAACCCCCGCCCCUCCUCCCCUCUCCCUCUCUUCGAACCCUCCUAAGAAGGAUUUGUGUAUUUUAUUAAUAAACACUGAACGCUCUUCUUAAUUCGUUUUUUUUUUUUCUGAAACUGACACUGCAAAGCGAGAGAACUUAAUUCAUAAGAAACAGAAACGAAAGCGAGAAAUGAAUCUCUCUCACUACAUCAAAGUCAGUAUUGAUCACUCCUUGGGUCUUCAGAUCUCAAUGGAGUCUCUCCAGAAGAAGCUUCGUACUGCUGAAGAAUCACAGCUGCGUCUCAAAGAUCAAUAUCUGGCUCUUCUCUCUAUAUUAAAAGAGAAAGAUGUAAUCGACCAAGCUAGGUCGGAAGCGAGUUUGAAUGCCCAUGCGUUGAAGAAGUUCAUCGACGAGAACCAGAAACUGGCCGCGGAAUGUGGAAAUCUAUUGAGCCAGUGUAAGAAAUGGGAAAGAGAGUGCUUGCUUUAUCAUCAAGAUCGUGAUGCGUUGAUGGAAUUGGGGAAUGAAUCUGAUGAGAGAGCCAGAGACGCAGAAGCUAGGGUUCGUGAUUUGGUAGACGAAAUUGGAAGAAUGUCUGAGGAAUUGCAGAUUCGUAAGCGAGAAAUUGGGAUUGACCAAGUUGACAACUGCACACCAUUAUUAGAAGAAGAUUUGCUUGAUUCAGUUUUGGGAUUACUCGUAAGCAAAGAUGAAAAUACAGUGGGGCAUGUGGGGCGUCUCUGUUAAGCUAGAUACGCCCCCUCGAGAUGAUGGCUCUUCGAGCGUCAAUCUCAUAAUGUUCAGGCAAGGAUCGAUGGGCCAACUUUGGACUGGAUCGAUGUGGAUUGGGUUGGACUGCGUGGAUCAGGCUCUUAUACCAUGUUAAGCUACAUGGGCUUCCAACCUAAAACCAAUUGGUGAUAAAUGGAUUGGCUCAUAUAUUUUAUAUAUUGCUUAAGAUCUCUUCUAACUACUGUGGGACACUUUGUGUCUAAUAGGCUCUUUUUGGAGGCAAACACUCAAGACUUAUCUUGCCAAGCCUUGUUGAGCAGGUGCGAUCGAUUAAAGCCUUCGAUGCAAAAGGUUCUGUCUUUGGUGUCAAAGGCAAAGAAAUUUGGAACCGAAAAGGAAUGCAUUAUCCAGAAUCUCGCUAAAGCCAAGCAAGAGACAGAACUUGUGAGAUUGCAAAACCGAAAUAUGGAUAAAGAAAAUCGUAAGUUGUUAAGGCAACAAAGCCCUCCUGGUUCUGCUGAGACAAGUCACAAAAGCGCAUCUGCAAAGUCAUACAAGAGAUAGUCUGAAGAUGAUGAGCAGUCCGAUUGAGAAGAAGCUUGAGUUUAGCAGCAGUCCAGAAAUCAGUAGGAAUCCUCUAUCACUUGUGUGGAAUUACUCACCAGAUUCUAGGAUCAACAAGAAGUAAUGGCAAUUAAUCAAACAUGUCUCUGUAUUAUCAAUAUGUGUCUUGAAGUAGUAGGAAAGGAAAAAAAUAACAGGUUUGGAUUACAUUGUCGCCUCUCUGAAGCUACUUACCAACAUGUAUUGCUAUCAAAAGUUGACUAGAAAAUCAUGUUACUAACUAAUAGAAAACUUCUAUAAGAAAAAUGUGAAGCCUCCAAAGCUUAGACUACUAGCUAGGGGUUAGGGAUUUAGUUUCCCUUUUUCCAGAUUUACAUGGAACCAUGUGUUAUUAUUGUUAAUGCGAUUUGGGUAUGAAUAUAAGCAGGGCCGUGUCAAGGUAUAUAUUGGCCUUUGGGCAUUUUUUUUACAUAUACUUAUGGGCAACUUAAAAUUUUGGGCCCUUAUCCUUAAUUAUUUUUUAAUAAAAUUGGAUCUCUCUUUAACAUUGUUUUUGUUAAAAAAUACUUGGGCUCCAGCCCCACGCCCCCUUGCCCUAUGCUUUAAGCCGGCCAUGAAUAUGAGUAAGUGAAAAGAGACAAAAUGAUAUGUUCAGAAAAACAAGCUGAAGUGUUUAAAGAAAAAAUGGAAGUUCCACGUUACAACUGAGAAAAUAACAACAACUUUAAAGGAAUUAUCUGAAACUCUUAAACCUAAGAAAAUGUUUUAGAAAUAAAAUAGUAUAAUCUUUUGGCUGUGAGAAGGGGAUAUAUCGAUUUUUUUCAUGCUUUUACAAAGCAAAAUCGUACUAAAAAUUGGAUUACAGCGAAUCAGAUAAUAUGGUGGAGAAUGAAAAGGGAUUAUGAUAGCCAUUGUUACUAAUUAUUUCAGGUGCUUUUUUGAAUCGCUCAAUGCAAAGGAGAUUGAUGAUGCUUGGCGGAUGUAACUAUAAGUAUCACAAAUUGAUUAUCCGAGAUCUUACAACACUUGUUACUGUAUAGGAAGUCAAACUUGCUUUAUUUGAGAUGCAUCCAAAAAAAAAAGCACAAUGAUCAGAUGGAAUGGAAGCUCUUUUUUCUUCAGAAGUUGUGGGAUAGAGUAAAAGGCGACUUAACCCGUAUGGCUAAUGAUUUCCUUUUUGAUGGCAUUAUAUGGAAGUAUCUAUGGAAUUUUAUAGUCAUUCAUUGAAUGCUACAUGAAGAACAUAAGUCAAAUGACGGAACGGGAAGACCUAGGAUGUAUAAGAUCAUAACAUAAGCUAAACCACAGAUUUUGAUAUUUAUAUAUUCACUUGUGUCAUACUUCUACGAUAUAUAUAUAAGAUCCAUUUGUAUAAAUAUCAUCAUCUACAUCCAGAAAGCCAUAUGCUUCGGAAGAAUCUCGUACACUAUGAGAAUUUGAUUGAUAAAAAAUCUACUUAAGCCGACAUACCCUUAAGCACGGCCAUGCAUAAUGGUAGACAAUUAGCUAGAGCAGUAGCGAAACUGAUUGUAAAAGAGACAAAAUCAGCCACAUUAAAUUACUUUCUUUAGAGGUCCAUUUGAUAUCCAAAAAUUGAACAGUAAGACAUGUUAUGUAUGUAUAUGGUUAUACUUGCAAUUAUUGUUAAUUGCAAGUAUAAUAAAUUUUUUUGCAUUAACUUAGUAUAAAAAGUUAGCCACUUUCGUAUAAAUAUGUAUAUUUUUUUCAAAAUUAAAUGUAAGUGUAUUUUAACAAACAGAAGACUAAAAUAAUUCUAAUUAAAAUUCAAAAUUUUAUAGAGAUUUACAUAUUCAAAAAUAUACCUAGAUCCAUAAAUAAACAUAAAUAGGCAAUUAUUCAACUUUUUAAUUGUUGGGUUUAUUUGAAAUUAAACGUGAUACAAUACUUUAAAAUUUAUUGUUAAGAACAUCAUAUGUCAAAUAAAUAAAAAAAACUAAAUCAUAAAUAUUUUAUAAACUUUUAUUUUGUUUAUAAUUGGUAAAUAAAAAUUUUAAAUAUCAAUAAAUUCAUUUUUCAUUUUAUAAAAAAAAAAUAUUUUAUAAAAAGUUAUUUUGACCACUGGGCAAGAAAAACUAGUACACAUGUUAAACUGGCCAGUUUAUUUUAUUUAGACCAUGGUGUAUUAUUAUUGUUAUUUAAAAAAAACAUUUUUUAAAAUUCGGCAAUUGAUUAGAGUCAUCACCUCUGGUGCCCCCAACCGCACAAAGCAGAAUCUCCUAUGGGCUCCACAAUCGCCUAUGCCCCUUUUUCAUUAAGUGGGCGUGAAAUGAUGGGAAUGCCCUUGGAAGAUGGAAAAAAAUAAAAAAAAAGUAAAAGAAAAUUCGAAUUUGGGGGGAUUUCGGUAUGGGUUUCGGUCUGGGUUUGGUGUGAGUUUCGGUCGACGGGUUUGUCAUUAAUUCAAUUCAAUUGAAACCGAAUCAAUUCAAUUAGAGUUCUGGAACAAGAAAAUUUAAAUUUAAAAGAAAAUAAAAUCCCGCAGCUCGAGGAGGAAAGCUCCUUUACAGCUCCCACCCGAGAAGCUCGUUAUUGUCUCUGGUUCGCAGCUCCCUCACAACAACUCUGUUGUCGACGUUGAUAGCUACUCCGGUGACGCCGUCGGACCGCAAUGUUUCCACCGGCUAGCAUUCUUUCGGAUAGGUCGUAAUGCAGGUUAGUUAUUCUCUCCUUAGCAAGCUGCAAGAUAGAAAUUUGAUUUAGGGUUUGUAAUUGAAAGUGUUGAAACAGCAUUGAU